rnacentral:rRNA from 1 species
UGGGGAAUAUUGGACAAUGGGCGAAAGCCUGAUCCAGCCAUGCCGCGCGUGUGAAGAAGGCCUUUUGGUUGCAAAGCACUUUAAGCGAGGAGGAGGCUACUCGGAUUAAUACUCCAGGAUAGUGGACGUUACUCGCAGAAUAAGCACCGGCUAACUCUGUGCCAGCAGCCGCGGUAAUACAGAGGGUGCGAGCGUUAAUCGGAUUUACUGGGCGUAAAGCGUGCGUAGGCGGCUUCUUAAGUCGGAUGUGAAAUCCCUGAGCUUAACUUAGGAAUUGCAUUGGAUACUGGGAAGCUAGAGUAUGGGAAGGGAUGGUAAAAUGCCAGGUGUAGCGGUGAAGUGCGUAGAGGACUGGAAGAAUACCGAUGGCAGGGACAGCCAUCUGGCCUAAUACUGGCGCUGAGGUACGAAAGCGUGGGGAGCAAACAGG